rnacentral:rRNA from 1 species
GAUCGGCUCAGGACGAACGCUGGCGGCGUGCCUAAUACAUGCAAGUAGAACGCUGAAGGAGGAGCUUGCUCUUUCCGGAUGAGUUGCGAACGGGUGAGUAACGCGUAGGUAACCUGCCUGGUAGCGGGGGAUAACUAUUGGAAACGAUAGCUAAUACCGCAUAACAGUAGAUAUCGCAUGAUAGCUACUUGAAAGGUGCAAUUGCACCACUACCAGAUGGACCUGCGUUGUA